rnacentral:tRNA from 1 species
GGAGGGAUGCUAGAGCGGUUUAAUAGGACAGUCUUGAAAACUGUUGUUCGUUUGCGCGAACCGUGAGUUCGAAUCUCACUCCCUCCG